rnacentral:lncRNA from 1 species
AGACUCCAGCGGGCCCGCCUGGCAUUUCACAGGCCAAAAUCGAACAGAACCCCGAGUUUGCCAGGUAUCAGUUUUGCUUUGUUUUUAAGCAGAAAAAGGCAUCCAAGUCUAUUUUUGAAGUUUUACACUGGGCUAUUUCGAGUCAAACUAUAUGAAUGAAAAGUGCUGUUCCUGCCUUAUUUGGUUUAGGGCUAAUAGCUAUCGGAAGUGGCAGUUAUGAAGUCGUUACAGUAAGACUUUAUAAGAUAAUCUUCUUGAAUCAUGUGGGAACUGUUGGGGGGAAUUUAAUAUCAGAUUAUUAUUUUAAAAAGCAGUUAUUUUAAAGUACAAAGGUAGGGAUAAAGGUAAAUGUGAAAUUGCAUGGACUUUUACGUUUGUGAUGAGUAGUCGUCAAAGCUUCUUGCUUCUUAAUUUUAUCGGGAAUGGAAGAAUAUAAAUUAUAAUUCCUUAGAGCUGAGAUUUCUUAGGAGAUUUUAGUUUGCUUUUGUUUUUUCUACCAAUAGACUAAAUUGUCAAAUAAGAUAUGGCAAACUAGGACUCAUAAAUUAGUUGAAACAUGACUCUAUGAAGCAUAGAUUAUAUUCAGUACUCUCUGGUUUAUCUCUUCAUAUUUUCAUUUGCAGCGCUGGUGGCAAGAUCGAUUUUCAAAAACAAUUUUGUCUAUAAAAAAACUUCAGGGUUCAUAUAACUUAUAAAAUUGUCAGUUCAGAUUAAUGGCAGAUAUUUACAAUAUUUAACUUUAUUCAAUUUGCAAUUUGUAAAUAGUAACUUGAGCAGUGAUAUCAGUUUCAUGUUUCUUUCUGCAUAGUAUUGUUUUUCAAAAAAACCCUGUUUUUUAUAGAUUCAUAUUUUGGAAGUAACUUUAAUAGCACUUCUUGGGAAAUACAACAGGUUCUAAUUUCACAUUUUUCAAUGGAUUUCUAAAAAAUACUGUGCUGGAUAGUGAAGAGUGGAUUUUAUUGCCAGGAAACAUAUGUAUGCUUUCUUUUUCCUCAGUGAUGUGUUGACUUACCUAAUACUUGUGGUGAAACGGCCUUCGAAGACCAGAAUCCACUGUACUGGCCCCUUGCCAGUAAUUUUGAACAUCAAGUUUAUAUUUGGACCAUUUAAACAUAUAUUCUUUUAAUUCCGGUCCCAGCUGAUAUAUCAGUCUAAUUUCUGAUGACUUUUAUUAGGGCCCUAUAUGAAUAUCUGGAAAUUUUUAUAUUAAGAUAAGUAGCUCUUUGCUACUUAUCUAGAAUUUUGUCACAGUGCUUAAACUGCUUGUAUGGCAAGGUUGCAGCAUACAAUGUAAUUUAGAUUUUGAAUCAACACACUGCUUUUUGUUUUUAAAAGUGCUUGUUCUAAUAUUUUAACUAAGAUGUUAAUCCAUUAAGUCAGAAAUCCUUGCUAUUUUGCUCAACUCAAAAGAAUAUCCAAAGACUAUCCCAACAGUAAGGUUCAUCAGUUUUUCUAAUACAUAUGCCAUUUAAUAAUUAAAAAUAGAUUUUAAGGCCACGUGUGGUGGCUCAUGCCUGUAAUGCAACACUUUGGGAGGCCAGUGUGGGAGGAUUGCUUGAACCCAGGAGUUCGAGACCGGCCUGGUCAACAUAGGGAUACCCUGUCUCUACAAAAAUUAAAAAAAAAUUAGCUGGGCAUAGUGGCUCACUCCUGUGGUCUCAGCUACUUGGGAAGCCAAAGUGGGAGGAUUGCUUGGGCCAGGGAGAUCGAGGCUGUGGUAAGCCGUGAUCACACCACUGCAUUUUUGGUUCUGUCAUAAUCUGGUCACAAUCCCUCUAAUUUAUCUGCACCUGUAUAAUUAAUUUAUCAUAGUUAUGGAUUUGGUUGAUGAAUUUGAUUCCCAUGUUUAGCUUCUCGGUAAAAUUAUUAAGUUGGACAGUUUCCAUGUCUCUUCUAACUCCAAGAUCCUAUAAUGUUGUUUUUGUUUAUGUAACUCUUCAGAGCCACCUACUACAUGUGGUUCAAACUUCUGAUUGUCAGCCUGUGACUUGCUAUACAUGUCAAACUGGCCUACCUUAGCCAGAUGUGAUGGGUGUGGUCCAGUGUUGGAGAGUCCGGAUCUGUCUCAGGAUUGUGUUAAUACCUGGAACAUGCACAAAGAUACAUACAUACCUGGACAGAUUCCGUGUUAAGCUUCUAUCACUUUUUCUUCCUCAUCUAAUAGCAGAAAGUGCUGAUUAUGUCAUAGGGUAAAUGCCUAACUGGUUUUUGGGGAUAGUUAAGCCCAGGCCUUAAGACAGUUUGAUAUUCAGUUUUGUUAUUUAGGUCUGGGUUAGGGAUACCGCCAGAGAGCAUCCAAACAUUUCUGUGGUUGGGAAGGCUAGUUAUCUGUGAGCAUUCCAGAUGAAAUAGCCUAUAAUGGGUUAUCACCUUUUGAUCUUACCUCAGAGAAGAUUGAAUUGGAUCUACCUAUCUGAUUUAGCAGAAUUAAACUGGAUUUGGAUGGAAGGGUAAUCAGCUAUUUAAUUUGCCAGUUGUUAGUUAGCAUUUCUUCUUGCUGUAUCUCAAGGAUUUACUUUGAAUAUUCUGUAUUUUCUCUUUCCUGCCCAUGAUGGGUUUUCCUUUUAAAAUGCUCAGCACAGGCUGGGUGUGGUGGCUCACUGAUCUGCCAGCCUUGGCUUCCCAAAGUGCUAGGAUUACAGGCAUGAGCCACUGCACUCAGCUAGAAGAAUUCUGAUAGGCUCUGAGCAUCCAUUGUUCCAGGUAUAACAAUUCUGACUUUUUCAGAUACUCUGAUGCUUUUAUGGUAUCCUGCUUGCUGCUGUCUUCUUUUGAAAUUGGAGUUCAAUCACUCUGCUUUUCUUUCUUAAUACUUGUCUGUUUCCUAGAUUUUACAUGCUUUUCCAUGAACACUAAUUUCCUGUAUGAAGAGGGAAUAUACAAAUGAUAGGAUGCUUUCCUGUAACUGAGAUGGCAGGGGGAAGGAGAGGACAGCAACUCAUACAGAAGGAAAUCAGCUUUUGUUGAGCACCCAGAAUUUACCAGAUCAGAUAGAGAGGACAGGUGUAGAAGAAAAUGAGCAUGUAUAAAGUGGAAUAGUGGGACAAUAAAGUACAAAUAUGGAAAAUUAAGUGGAAGGCUUUUAAUGCUGUUAGGGAACUUGGAUUGGGUUAGUAAGUUAUGAGACUGACAUUUUUGAUCCUUGAAAUGUCAUAAUCAGAGGUGAAUUAUAGGUUAUAUAAUCCAAUAGUUUAGAUAAUUAAUUAAAUUGGGAAAUAAGUCAUAGGACCAAUAAAGAAGUGUUUUGAGAGUUUCUCUUAAGGAAUGAAGACCUAACGAGAAUAGCGGCACCGCAGUAGAAGUGUUGCUAAAGUACAUUGGACAGAAAUAAGCAAUUGGAUAUUGGGAAAGAAAGGGAUGAAUAAAAGGUGACAUGAGAUGUUAAGCCUGGGUGAUGGAGAGAAUGUGAUCUCAGCAGGUUUGUGGGUGGAGGUAAAAAUAAGUUUUGUUCUAGAUCUCUUGCUUUUGAGGUGCUGGUAGGAUAUUCCUGUGGAGAUGUGUAGUAGAAUCCGAAGUGUGAAACUGGAACUUGGAGGGAGAGAUCAAGGCUGGAAAUAAAACAUGUAUGAGUAAGGAGAGUUAAAAAUAAAGAGAAAAAGAGAGCAUUUGUUAGCUGGAGUAAAAGGAAGGGUACAGGAAAAGCAUCAUAGAGAAGAGAGAAUUUGAUCUGACUUUAAAAGAUGCCGAGUCGGUAUAUGGCAUUCUGUUCACGAGCUUUCCUUGUUGAGGGGACAUCACAUUUACUAACUUGAGAGAUAAUACAUGGGAAGUGUUGGACAAAGGAUACUGCAUCCAGAAUGACCUUUCUAAACUACAAAAUCAUUUCCCCUCUUUCCUGCUUAACCCUCCCUCAGUGGCUUCUUAUCUUUCUUCAGAUAAAGGACUGACUCCUAAAUGUCUUCAUCAUCACCAAUUUGAACACACAUUGUGUCUCACACUCCUCCUCGUUCCUCACUCUUCUUCCCCAAGACUGGACAGAAUGUGAAGAAGAUAUGAUUUCCACCAGAUGGAGUACUCUUUAUACUUUUUUGGGGUCCUUUAUGGUUACUUUUUGUGGCCAUGGUCAGGUUCUUAUCCAUAAAAUAAUUAUUGAUAACUUCCUAAUGUAAAAUGAAAAAUAAUGAUAAAUCACAUACUUCCCUCAUUUUUACAGAAUUCCUUGCUUGCCUUAUCUCUUCAAGUGUUGACUGCAAGGUUCCUGUACACUUACUUGAGUUGGCCACUCCGGUCACUAUACCCUGAUCUCUGACACUUGGCCGUGGUAGCCUGGAGCAGCAUUGUUACUGGGCAUUGCUGUGAUUGGGUUACCCAGCUGUGCUGAUGUGGAAACCUCAGGGCUAUUUAUUGAUACUUGGUUUCCUAAAGGAAAGUUGAGGGAAUGUAUUUUAUGAGAGGGCUUUAUUUACACGAUUAAAGAGGUUUAUAAAAUGUGGAGAUGAAUAUAGGUGAAACAGAGAAAGAAUGCUGGUAUAGGAGGUGUUUUCGGCUGGGUUUGGUGGCUCAUACCCGUAAUCCCAGCACUUUGGGAGGCUGAGGCGGGUGGAUCACUUGAGUCCAGCCUGGGCGGCGUAGUGAGACCCAUCUCUACAAAAACUACAAAAAUUAGCUGGGCAUUGUGUUGCAUGCUUGUAGUCCUGGCUACUCAGGAGGCUGAGGUGAGAGGAUUGCUUGAGCCCAGGAAGCAGAGGUUGCAGUGAGCCAAGAUCGUGCCACUGCACUCCAGACUGGGCAAUAGAGUGAGACCCUAUCUCAGAAAACAAACAAAAAUCCCCAAAAAACCAGGAAGUGUUUUCUUAGGGUCUAGUUCCCAGGCGAAUGGUAUAUCCUGAUUCUAGGUUUAUAAAAAUAGUAUAUUAUUCAUAACAUUUGUCUAAAGUGACACAUUUACAUACAGUAUAUAGUAUUGAGUAAUUUCCAACUCUUUAAAAAUAAUGGAGACCCUUUCAUGUAGUAGUAACUAUGUUUUUAGUAUCUGUUGACUGAGAAAAUACGUAACAGCAAAAGCUACUAUAAAACUUUGAAAUAAGUUCUUGUAAAUGUAAAAAAAAUUCUCAUAUAUUUGGAAAGUAUACAUGUGGAAAUUAUGACUUAUAGAGUCUAUGGACACUUGAUUUCUUGCUUUAUGGAUACUCUCAGGAAGUUCUGGUCUCAACUUUGAGUAUCUCAUUGUCCUCUUACUUUAGAAUGUGGGGUAUGGGGGAAAACUUCUAUUUGAAAAUUUGAGCCAUAGCGGAAAUUUUGGAAUGACAGGGAAACACCUUCUCAGAAUCCUCUUACAAUAAAAUUUAUAUAUGUUAUGCCAGACAAUGUACUUUAUACUAAGACUGGACUUUUAAAUAGUCUCAUGGAUUAGAAGUCAGAUACAAUAAAUAAAUACUUUUUAAAAAUUAUAUUUUUAGGUAUAUGAGCAUUGUUGUUGGGACUACAGUGCUAUUUUAAAGUGAAAUUUAGUUGAUUUGCAUGUGAGUAUACACCUACAGGUCUCUGUUAUAGCCGUGACAUGUCUUCUGUUACUAUAAAUUACAUAACAAAUCCUUAUGGUUUCUUGGGUCACUUAUUUUAUUUAAAGACAAAAACAUCUUUCAGUACAUAUGUAAGACUUAAGGCAUUAUUGAAAAUAAGCCUGUGCUACAUGGUAGAAUCUAUUAAAAAAAAAAAAA